rnacentral:rRNA from 1 species
GACGAACGCUGGCGGCGUGCUUAACACAUGCAAGUCGAACGGAAAGGCCCUGCUUUUGUGGGGUGCUCGAGUGGCGAACGGGUGAGUAACACGUGAGUAACCUGCCCUUGACUUUGGGAUAACUUCAGGAAACUGGGGCUAUACCGGAUAGGAGCUCCUGCUGCAUGGUGGGGGUUGGAAAGUUUCGGCGGUUGGGGAUGGACUCGCGGCUUAUCAGCUUGUUGGUGGGGUAGUGGCUUACCAAGGCUUUGACGGGUAGCCGGCCUGAGAGGGUGACCGGCCACAUUGGGACUGAGAUACGGCCCAGACUCCUACGGGAGGCAGCAGUGGGGAAUAUUGCACAAUGGGCGGAAGCCAGAUGCAGCAACGCCGCGUGCGGGAUGACGGCCUUCGGGUUGUAAACCGCUUUCGCCUGUGACGAAGCGUGAGUGACGGUAAUGGGUAAAGAAGCACCGGCUAACUACGUG